GCCUAAUUACCUUCAAGCCUGGUGCGUUUAUCCCAGGAGUUCCCGUCCAGCCGGUGGUUUUGCGGUACCCAAACAAACUGGACACCAUCACCUGGACGUGGCAAGGCCCCGGAGCGUUGAAAAUCCUGUGGCUCACGUUGUGUCAGUUUCACAAUCAAGUGGAAAUUGAGGUUUGUAUAGAUACAGUGUUACACAAUGUUGUGUGGGAGUUUAUACAGAUGCCAUGUUAUACAAUGUUAUUCUGUCUGUAUUGUUAUAAUGUUACAUUGUGGUCUCUAUAGAUACAGCGUUACACAAUGUUAUUUUGAUGUCUCUAUACAUAUAAUGUUAUAUGGAUACAAUGAUAUAUAGGGGUCUCUGUAGAUAUAAUAUUAUACAGCGUCAUGUUGGUAUCUGUACAGAUCCAAAGUUAUACGUCAUCUGUCUUGCUUUGAACUUUUUCCAUUUCGCAGGGCUCCUCAAAGGUGCUUCCCAGGGGGUUUGCAUCAACUUUGUGUCUCUUGCGUGACUGUUUAUCCAUUCAGAUAGGAUUUUAAAAAUCAACAGGAAGCUAAGCCCGUCAUUCUUUUAUUAUGGUUAGCAUAGCUUAAGGGCAUACCUGCAAUUACUGAUUCUUUUGGCUUCUACUUCUACCCAGUGCUGACACUGCCGAUAUCGAACUGCUAAACUUACCAUACUGUUAUCCUGUUUAAUACUUGGUCAGACCAGGUAGACUGCCUCCCCGCAUUCAGCCCGUUUCCAAAGUCACAAUACCUGUCCUCCCUACUCAAAUAAGUAUGGUCACAUUCAUGCAGCCUGUAAACUUAAUUGAGUGGAUGAGGAAUAGGGUUUAUUUUCUUCAAAGGGGAGUUAACCUGCUACUCCUACACCCGAACAUGAGAGAUGAGUCUUACACAGCUUAAAGCAUUUCAUUUGCUACCUUCUGAUAAAUACUGCAGAGUGAUACCGAAUUUACAAAUGAGCCCGGCUUUCAGCCAGGUUUAUUCACUUCAGUAGAACAUAAGCCGCUUAAUUAUGAAGGACUGGGCUGGAAGGGCCGUGGCCCGGGUCCAAGGGUGGCUGGCCUGCAACCCACGGUAUUUUAUGUGGCUCGUUUGCUGGUGGCCGAGAGGCAGCAGCGGGGAGAGACUCCCAGGAAGAUGCUCUGUUUCAGACUGGUUUCUAAUUUGAAGAGUUGGAAAGAAACUGUAUGGCUUUGUGAAAUCACUCUAAAUUCUUUGCGUCACUCCUACAAGAAGCCAGUGCUGAUAUGAGGAACUGUUGCAACUUACAAAGUUUUUAAAAAAGGUAGCAGUAAGCGAGAGACUAGCAUUAUACGAUGAGAACUGAUAGGAUUUGGGGAUGUUCCUGUAUUCUUGAAUGUCCAUACUAGAGAAAAGGGCUCGGUGAUGGUCAUUUUCCUUUUCUACAAUGGGGGGUCGGCACAGGCUGUGAGACGUACUUAUUUAAAACACGCAGAGACACACGUUCCUGGGACAGUUUAUUAUAUUCUGCAAAUGCAGUAGUUGUCAAAAAGCUAAUAAUAGUCUUUCAAGUGGAAAUAAUUUGUCGUGUUACCCGCAACACAAAACUGAGACUUUAGAAGUGGAAGCACACCUGCGAUUCUUUCGAUUCCAAAGACUAAGCCCCUGUGCGAAGUCGUAAGCACGACUCUCUGGCUUCUGUGUCGGAGGAGUGGUGCUCCUGCUGAGGAAAGGUGGGUUGUGAGUUUACACACGUGUGCGUGCAUGGGCAGCAGUGACAACUCCAGAGACGAUGCCGGUGGAGGGCGCUCUGACAGAGGUCUUGAUUUGUCCGGGAGCAGGUUGUCAU